GUUGUGUUUUGUGUGUUUGUGAAGUGUAAGUGACAUAUUGUGUUAUAUUUAGACAUCCUUGAGAGAUGGAGAGUUUUGCACGUCUGGACGCUAUAUUUUAUUACCUUGCAAAUGGUUCCCACCAACUAGGAAGUAGUAGGAUACAGAUGUCUUCUGUCGGUAGAGCAGCAAAGCAGUAUGUGUUAGAUAUGGGUAUGUUGUACUAUGUUAAUUCAGGUAAGAGACGUCUGGUUGUACGUACCCCUGAGGAGAGGGACAGGGUACUGUAUGAGUGCCAUGACAGUGCAGCCACUGGAGAGCACCCUGGUGUACAGAAGACUGCACAGAAGGCAGUGCAGCAUUUUUAUUGGCUGACUUUGAAAAAGGAUGUAGAGGAUUGGGUUGGUUCCUGUGAGCCAUGUCAGAGGCAUGACAGAAUUAAGACUGUAGCACCUACGCUACACCCUAUUAAGGUCCAGGGUCCCGGGCAGGUCAUGGGAGUUGAUUUAAUUGGGCCGCUCAAAACGACAUCCAAGGGUUACAUCCAUAUCAUAAGUUUUACUGAUUUGUUCUCCAAGUGGGUCAUGGCUAGGCCUCUGAGAGGCAAGAACGGUCCAGGGGUAGGACUUAUGGUGACACAAACUGUUUUGGCACAGGGUGGUGUCAAAAGAUUAUCACUGAUAUGGGAAGAGAGUUUGUUAAUGACUGUAACAAAGCUCUUUUUGAAACCUUUGGGAUAGAGCAUGCUGUAACUUCAGCCUACCACCCGCAGCGCAAUGGGCAAGAUGAGCGCUCAAACCAGAACAUUAAGCGCCAUCUUGCAAAGUACUGUAAUGAGGAGCGGAAUGACUGGGACGUCUAUCUGCAACACGCUGUUUAUUCGAUAAACACCUCGAAGCAGCGUUCCACAAAGGUGAGCCCAUAUUUUGCAAUUUAUCGGGUUCAUCACGGCAGCAGCGCCGAUCCAAAGGUAGAUGACUUUGAGAUCGCGAACAGUGAAGAGACGCUGCAGAGGAACGUUGGGCUGGACCGUUUAAGGUGGAGUCCAUGACAGCCAAAAGAGUGUCCAGAUUGGUUGACAGGUUGAAUGUUCGCCAUUUGAAGCCAUAUGUUCGUCGAACAGACACGCCCAAAGAUGUCGGCAUCGCUUCUGAUGUCCAGGAAUUGAGUGUAUUGUGCGACAUCUCGAUGGAAGCUGUAGGUGCUGAAUGUAGGUAUUUCUUCAUUUAUACAUCUCCACAUAUGUACUGUCAAGUUCAAUGUAGAGUGUUGAAUGUGUUUUAUGUUCCUUUUUCCUAAAAGGUGCAGAUGUUGAUCACACAUUGGAAGUUGUCGUGCCACGUUUCGCGACUUAGACAGUCUGGCAGGCCCAGAGUUCAACUGGCUGACCGAUGAUAUUGUGAAUACGUGCGUUGCAGUGAUUGCUGCAGAUCACAAACAACGUUCCACUGACAAAGCCGUGUUCCACGCCCUUACCACAGACGCAUACACGUUGUGGUGUCGUGACUGGACAGCACAUAGUUGUGUUACGGAAAGAACUUUAAGCUGUAUCAAUGGCAUUAAGCCAGAUGGCGUGGUGCUACUGCCCCGUCUCGUUGGUCUGCGUUAAAAUAAAGCUUUACAGGUUUGGUCAGCGGACACCUGGGGUUAAAUGCGUUGUACUGUAGCUUUACAGGUUCGGUUAGAUAAGGUAAAGUUGUGCCCUGCUGCUGGCGUUCCCUAGUCAAUGCCAGUCACUUGGAGUUAGACAUGCCUAGCUUCUGUCACCGGUCACAUGGGUUAGACUUUGUCUUACAGGUGUGGUUAGCGCACACCUGGGGUUAGAAAGAUGUGCCUUGUUUUUACUGUCUUACAGGUGUGGUCAGCGAGCAGUGCGUGCGUUGCGCUUGUAGGAAGUCCUUUACGGUU